AUGGAUGGCGAGUCUGUUUAUCAAUGGUUUAUAUUAAAUAUAAACCAUUGAUAAACAGACUCGCCAUCCAU